rnacentral:lncRNA from 1 species
UCCGUUUGACUCUUCUUGGGACAAGCGGUGGUUAGAAUAUCUCUGUCAAGAUCCCUUCUGCCAAACAAAAGAUAUUUACCACGCAAGCACAAGGAUUGUAUCUCAAACAAAAAGUUGAUUGCUUUCAUUAGCAGGAACAGCGACAUGCAUGACACAUGAACAGAUAUCAGACAUGAUAAAUGAUGAUAUGCUUACACAUUUUCAAUUGUCACACGAAGAACUGUGGUAAUUUACGGAGUAUUCAUCCUCGGCUCUUGAUUCACUUGGGCCCUUCCACUUGAAAUUGUCAGCAUACGAUUUAGGCUGAAAUUGGAAACGAAAACAAUUCUCGUAUAAAUAGCGUCAAGAAGCAAACAAGAAUAUACAAUGCCCUAAUCCUGAACUAUCAUGUUCUAACACAUUAAAAAAGUCAUCAAAAUGUCAAGAUUUUGGUGGCUGUUAGAUAAAACAGAGCUACCAAAGAGAAAUCAUGGGCACCUUAAAAGGGAGUUCAAAGGCUUCUAUGAAUUACCCUCCAUCCUUUGACAAAUUAUACCACCAAGUUAAAAAUCUCACCAGAGGGCUGUUAAAGUCAAAAUUUCUCAGCAGAGGGCUCUUAAAAUUCCUAAUCCUAACAAAAGACAGAUAUAUAAAUAGGAAAACAUUUUGCAGUAGCUACAGAAAUCAUCCCUAGUUUUCUAGGGAAAGCAACUAUUCAUCCUUCGAGAAAAUGGAUUGCGGGGAAAAGAACACAAACCUUGAUUAAUUAAUCCAUUGCUUUUCUUUCUGUACUUCUCCAUAGCCAAACAAUUAAACCAGAAUAGGGUUUAGGUUUUAAGACAACGAAAACAAAAUAAAUACGAAACUCACUCUUGUACGAAGGUAUUGCUCAGGAAUUUCAAAGAUCACGCAGACCUUGAUGGGAUCGACCUCAAUAAGGCGUUUCAAGCAUAAUCGUUAAACCCGA